rnacentral:lncRNA from 1 species
CCAAGGAAAAGCACCUUUUGAUAGAGGACAGAACCUGUGAAAAAAAUUUCCGUUUCUAAUUAUUCAACCUCUCUAAUUAUUCAAAUAACCUUUUUUUAAAAGAGAGCUUAGAAAUCUGCCUUCACAAACAUAAUCACUCUGAAAUUUCAGAAUAUCUGGACUCUAUUAUCAAACUUCAAGUCUCUUCUCGUUAAGAAAGAUAUAUAUGUGUGUGUGUGUGUGUGUGUAUGUAUAUGUAUGUGUGUAUAUAUUUAUUCCCCAUUUACUUCCUAGGCUUCCAAAACACACAUAUGUAUACACACACACACACACACACACAUUUGUCUUUCUUAAUGAGAAGAGACUUGAAGUUUGAUACUUAAUGGAGUCUAGAUAUUCUGAGAUUUCAGAGUGAUCAUGUUUGUGAAGGCAGAUUUUUAAGCUCUCUCUCUCUAUACAGACACACACAGAGAGACAGUUUGGAGAAAAGCUUGGGGGCGUUGCUUAUUUUAUCAGUGAGGAUUUUACUAGAAAAGCUAUAACACUAAGAGAUUUCUCUUAUACAAUUGUGGAAGCUGGUUAGGCAAUCUAUGCGUGGCUGUUACCUUUGUGUCUGAUGCUGGAACUUUAAUUCCAGAGGGCAAGUAGUCAGGAAAAAAAAAAUGGAUAUAAAGAGUGGCAGAUCAAAGUCAUGCUGGAACCCACAAGCAUGAGCUGCAAUCCCACAAAGGCAGACUGAAACCCAUGUCAGUUCUUGUUGUCUCUGAAAUUGGCGGUGUGGAUAUCCUGCAGAAGCUGGGGCGCCUCUUUUUUUUUUUUUUUUUUUUUUUGAGUUGGAGUCUUGCUCUGUCGCCCAGGCUGGAAUGCUGUGGCCCGAUCUCGUCUCACUGCAAGCUCCGCCUCCCGGGUUCAUGCCAUUCUCUUGCCUCAGCCUCCGUAGUAGCUGGGACUACAGGCGCCUGCCACCACACCCGGCUAAUUUUUUGUAUUUUUAGUAGAGACGGGGAUUUCACCGUGUUCGACAGGAUGGUCUCCAUCUCCUGACCUCGUGAUCCCCCCGCCUCGGCCUCCCAAAGUGCUGGGAUUACAGGCGUGAACCACCGCACCCGGCCGCUGGGGCGCUUCUUAAUGGCCAGAUUAAAAAUGCACACACCUGGCCGGGCGCGGCGGCUCACGCCUGUAAUCCCAGCACUUUGGGAGGCCGAGGCAGGUGGAUCACGAGGUCAGGAGAUGGAGACCAUCCUGGCUAACACGGUGAAACCCCGUCUCUACUAAAAAUACAAAAAAUUUGCCGGGCGUGGUGGCGGGCGCCUGUAGUCCCAGCUACUCGGGAGGCUGAGGCAAGAGAAUGGUGUGAACCCAGGAAGCGGAGCUUGCAGUGAGUGGAGAUCGCAUCACUGCACUCCAGCCUGGGCAACAGAGCGAGACUCCGUCUUAAAAAAAAAAAUAAAAAAAAAAAAAUAAAAAAAAAAAAGAAUGCACACACCUGACCCAGAAGUCAGAAAAACUAAAGGAGAAUCCAAGGGAAGGCCUUUUGAAGACCAUCUGGUUGGCAACACGUUUUGGUGCUGGGGCAGUGUCCUCUAGGAUGUGAAAUAUACUCUAAAUCUGC